rnacentral:lncRNA from 1 species
CAAGGCCCUCUUGGUAUUUCUUAACUUAUUUGAUAUUCUAAACAUUGGAGUUCCCUUGACUUGAGCCUUCCAUGCAUUGUCAACAAUUAUCCACGACUCUAUAUAGCUCAACCAAAAAUUUUCAAAGUAGAAAAAAGUAGGGGAUUUAUGCUCUCAUUCAAUCGAGAUUAGAAUAGGUUAGUAAUCAUAACUUGAUUGAGUGAGAUGUUGAAUAACCACGUCUAGAUACAUAGCC